GAGGAAGGCCGGGGAAACGAUUUAUCUAGAACCUUCGGGGAACGAUAACGGCGUCCAUUUGGGGGACGGGUGAGUAAUGCCUAGGAAAUUGCCCUGAUGUGGGGAAUAACCAUUGGAAACGAUGGCUAAUACCGCAUAAUGCCUACGGGCCAAAGAGGGGGACCUUCGGGCCUCUCGCGUCAGGAUAUGCCUAGGUGGGAUUAGCUAGUUGGUGAGGUAAUGGCUCACCAGGGCGACAAUCCCUAGCUGGUCUGAGAGGAUGAUCACCCACACUGGAACUGAGACACGGUCCAAACUCCUACGGGAGGCAGCAGUGGGGAAUAUUGCACAAUGGGCGCAAGCCUGAUGCACCCAUGCCGCGUGUGUGAAGAAGGCCUUCGGGUUGUAAAGCACUUUCAGUCGUGAGGAAGGUGGUGUUGUUAAUAGCUCUAUUAUUUGACGUUAGCGACAAAAAAAGCACCGGCUAACUCCGUGCCAGCAGCCGCGGUAAUACGGAGGGUGCGAGCGUUAAUCGGAAUUACUGGGCGUAAAGCGCAUGCAGGUGGUUUGUUAAGUCAGAUGUGAAAGCCCGGGGCUCACCCUCGAAAUAGCAUUUGAAACUGGCAGACUAAAGUACUGUAGAGGGGGGUAGAAUUUCGGGUGUAGCGGUGAAAUGCGUAAAAAUCUGAAGGAAUACCGGUGGCGAAGGCGGCCCCCUGGACAUAUACUGACUCUCAUAUGCGAAAGCGUGGGGAGCAACAAGAUUAUAUACCCUGGUAGUCCACGCCGUAAACGAUGUCUACUUGGAGGUUGUGUCCUUGACCCGUGCCUUUCGGAUCUAACGCGUUAUUAGACCGCCUGGGGAGUACGGCCCCAGAUUAAUCUCAAUGAUUGACGGGGCCCACACAACGGUGAACGUGUGUUUUAUUCCAUGCACCGGAAAAUCUUACUACUCUUGACUCCAAAAAUUUUCCAGAGUUGAUUGGUGCCUUCGGAACU
rnacentral:rRNA from 1 species